ACUUUUGCUGCUUUGACUUGCGUUUCAGAAAAUGACAAUUUGUUAAUUUUUUUGAAAUCAAAGGUGAAAUACCCUCUAGGAAAGUUGUCGGCACAAUCCAUUGGUAAAUAAAAGAAUCGCUGGUAGUAAUUCCCACAUGUCUGGAAUAGACAACAUCUAACGGCCGAAUUGAGACCUUGGAAUCCUCAGGAUGGAGCGAAAGUGUAUUAAGAGGCAGGGCAGGCAGGCAGGCAGGCAGGCAGGGCCGAGCCUGUACCUCUAAGCAGGAGCGACUUGCAGAUGAGCGCUCGGAGCUUGGGGCCGCGAAGGGCGAGACUUGACCCCAGCCGGGCGUCUUGCUUUCCUCACAGACCAUUUACCGGCUCACUACAUUUGCCGAGGCUCAUUAUUAACACCGCCGAAGCUAAGUCAACGUUUGCUGAGGUGCGCUGCUUACUAAUUUCAAUAGAUUAACCGCGCACAUUUAACCCAUUCGCCUAAAUCGAGUUAUUUGUAAUUAACUAGCUUCCACUUGGAGGAGGAGGAGGAGGUGGAGGAGAGCCCACCCCAAAGCCAACCGCCACCGCAUUCGAUUAUUACCAUCAUCGGAAAAUUCUAUUAUUAUCCUUUGAAAAACAAACAAUAAAAACGCAGUAUGGAGAGCCUAUUAGCCUCUUAAAUUUGGCGAGUCUGCGAUGGGUUUCCUUUAGUUACUUUACGGUUAUGUCGUAGAUGCGGCGCAAGGAACAUGCUGCUGGCUCAUUACAUAUCUGAAUAACUGAACCGUGCCUGGGUAAUGUUAUUUUUAUACGACAUAAAGUAGUAACGACAUGUUGGAGACACAAUAAGCGUCGAGUGUGCCCCAAUAUCGACUGCUCCAGCUCCGUUCUUCCAAACACAAUUUACAGAUAAGCAUUCUAAUUACUGACAUUAAUUAAAAAC